GGAAAUGUGCCCGAAAGUUAAGGACCUCCUUGAUAGGGAGAACAAUAAGAGCGCAAACCCCUUCAUUUCCU
rnacentral:tRNA from 1 species